rnacentral:rRNA from 1 species
AGUUUACUCCUGAGGUGGCGAGCGGCGGACGGGUGAGUAAUGCCUAGGGAUCUGCCCAGUCGUGGGGGAUAACAGUUGGAAACGACUGCUAAUACCGCAUACGCCCUACGGGGGAAAGGAGGGGACCUUCGGGCCUUCCGCGAUUGGAUGAACCUAGGUGGGAUUAGCUAGUUGGUGAGGUAAUGGCUCACCAAGGCGACGAUCCCUAGCUGUUCUGAGAGGAUGAUCAGCCACACUGGGACUGAGACACGGCCCAGACUCCUACGGGAGGCAGCAGUGGGGAAUAUUGCACAAUGGGGGAAACCCUGAUGCAGCCAUGCCGCGUGUGUGAAGAAGGCCUUCGGGUUGUAAAGCACUUUCAGUAGGGAGGAAAGGUUGUAAGUUAAUACCUUGCAGCUGUGACGUUACCUACAGAAGAAGGACCGGCUAACUCCGUGCCAGCAGCCGCGGUAAUACGGAGGGUCCAAGCGUUAAUCGGAAUUACUGGGCGUAAAGCGUGCGCAGGCGGUUUGUUAAGCGAGAUGUGAAAGCCCCGGGCUCAACCUGGGAAUUGCAUUUCGAACUGGCAAACUAGAGUCUUGUAGAGGGGGGUAGAAUUCCAGGUGUAGCGGUGAAAUGCGUAGAGAUCUGGAGGAAUACCGGUGGCGAAGGCGGCCCCCUGGACAAAGACUGACGCUCAGGCACGAAAG